rnacentral:rRNA from 2 species
GGGUGAGUAACGCGUAAGCAAUCUGCCCCUAAGACGAGGAUAACAGUUGGAAACGACUGCUAAGACUGGAUAGGAGACAAGAAGGCAUCUUCUUGUUUUUAAAAGACCUAGCAAUAGGUAUGCUUAGGGAGGAGCUUGCGUCACAUUAGUUAGUUGGUGGGGUAAAGGCCUACCAAGACUAUGAUGUGUAGCCGGGCUGAGAGGUUGAACGGCCACAUUGGGACUGAGACACGGCCCAAACUCCUACGGGAGGCAGCAGUAGGGAAUUUUCGGCAAUGGAGGAAACUCUGACCGAGCAACGCCGCGUGAACGAUGAAGUAUUUCGGUACGUAAAGUUCUUUUAUUAGGGAAGAAUAAAUGAUGGAAAAAUCAUUCUGACGGUACCUAAUGAAUAAGCCCCGGCUAACUAUGUGCCAGCAGCCGCGGUAAUACAUAGGGGGCAAGCGUUAUCCGGAAUUAUUGGGCGUAAAGGGUGCGUAGGCGGUUAAAUAAGUUUAUGGUCUAAGUGCAAUGCUCAACAUUGUGAUGCUAUAAAAACUGUUUAGCUAGAGUAAGAUAGAGGCAAGUGGAAUUCCAUGUGUAGUGGUAAAAUGCGUAAAUAUAUGGAGGAACACCAGUAGCGAAGGCGGCUUGCUGGGUCUUUACUGACGCUGAGGCACGAAAGCGUGGGGAGCAAACAGGAUUAGAUACCCUGGUAGUCCACGCCGUAAACGAUGAGUACUAAACGUUGGGUAAAACCAGUGUUGAAGUUAACACAUUAAGUACUCCGCCUGAGUAGUACGUACGCAAGUAUGAAACUUAAAGGAAUUGACGGGACUCCGCACAAGCGGUGGAUCAUGUUGUUUAAUUCGAAGGUACCCGAAAAACCUCACCAGGUCUUGACAUGCUUCUGCAAAGCUGUAGAAACACAGUGGAGGUUAUCAGUUGCACAGGUGGUGCAUGGUUGUCGUCAGCUCGUGUCGUGAGAUGUUGGGUUAAGUCCCGCAACGAGCGCAACCCUUAUUGUUAGUUACCAGCACGUAAUGGUGGGGACUUUAGCAAGACUGCCAGUGAUAAAUUGGAGGAAGGUGGGGACGACGUCAAAUCAUCAUGCCCCUUAUGACCUGGGCUACAAACGUGAUACAAUGGCUGUUACAAAGGGUAGCUGAAGCGCAAGUUUUUGGCGAAUCUCAAAAAAACAGUCUCAGUUCGGAUUGAAGUCUGCAACUCGACUUCAUGAAGUUGGAAUCGCUAGUAAUCGCGAAUCAGCAUGUCGCGGUGAAUACGUUCUCGGGGUUUGUACACACCGCCCGUCAAACCACGAAAGUUGGCAAUACCCAAAGCCGGUGGCCUAACU